rnacentral:rRNA from 1 species
GGGGGAUAACGUAGCGAAAGUUACGCUAAUACCGCAUAUUCUGUGAGCAGGAAAGCAGGGGAUCGCAAGACCUUGCGCUGAUUGAGCGGCCGAUAUCAGAUUAGCUAGUUGGUGAGGUAAAGGCUCACCAAGGCGACGAUCUGUAGCGGGUCUGAGAGGAUGAUCCGCCACACUGGAACUGAGACACGGUCCAGACUCCUACGGGAGGCAGCAGUGGGGAAUUUUGGACAAUGGGGGCAACCCUGAUCCAGCCAUGCCGCGUGAGUGAAGAAGGCCUUCGGGUUGUAAAGCUCUUUCAGCCGGGAAGAAAUCACAUGGGUUAAUACCCUGUGUGGAUGACGGUACCGGAAUAAGAAGCACCGGCUAACUACGUGCCAGCAGCCGCGGUAAUACGUAGGGUGCGAGCGUUAAUCGGAAUUACUGGGCGUAAAGCGUGCGCAGGCGGUUUGUUAAGAUAGGCGUGAAAUCCCCGGGCUCAACCUGGGAACUGCGUUUAUGACUGGCAGGCUAGAGUAUGGCAGAGGGGGGUGGAAUUCCACGUGUAGCAGUGAAAUGCGUAGAGAUGUGGAGGAACACCGAUGGCGAAGGCAGCCCCCUGG